UUUUUUACAAAUCGGAAUGAUUUGAAAUUUGGAGCAUGCGUUCAUAAAAAAUAGGUGAAUCUACGAAAAAUAUCAAAAAAAUAUUUUACAUGAAAUAAAUUGACCAAAAUACCUCUAAAAAGUUUCAGGGGUAUUUUGGUCAUUUUUUAGUGAAUUAUUUUUUUUAUAUUUUUAUUAGGUGUGCUUCACUAAGAUGUACACAUGUUCCAAAUUUUAGAUCAUUCCGAUUUGUAGAAAA
rnacentral:pre_miRNA from 1 species